GACGAACCGUGCGAACGUUGUUCGGAAUCACUGGGCUUACAGGGCGCGUAGGCGGGCCGAAAAGUCAGGGGUGAAAUCCUCCAGCUUAACUGGAGAACUGCCUUUGAUACUGGCGGUCUGGAGUAAGGUAGGGGCAUGCGGAACUGAUGGUGGAGCGGUGAAAUGUGUUGAUAUCAUCAGGAACUCCGGUGGCGAA
rnacentral:rRNA from 1 species